AGCACGAAAUGUUUACGACAUUAACUCGCUUUACGGUUUUGGGGGAGAUAACUCUUUGCAAGAAGGCUAAUGUAGACUGGUUCCUUGCUUCUGUUGCGCACGCUACACAAAGUUCAGCCGCUAGCUGAGGCGAGGGUAAGGUACCAGUCUAAAGGCCAAUGUUCUGAACAGUUGUGAACAGCUGGCAGAUCAACAGAUCAAAAGUAGAGGAGUGAACUAAUCGAUCAAACUGAUAGUCAGUGGCAGCCUUAUGCCGAGCAUACAGUUGUUAAUAAGCAAAUGGAGGGUUACCAUCAAAGAAAUUAUAUACCUCCGGGAGAAGUUCAGAACUGGAUUCCACCAACAGGAAAUCACUAUCUCAGAAUCAGUAAACGACCAAAUAAUGGUCUUCAGAGAGGUGAACAUGAAGCCCAAUGAGGUAUUCAGGUAUCAAAUGAAAGAUAUUCCACAAGGAAAUAUUUUCUGACACUAUGUACAUCCAACAGACCUAAGAGAGUUUGUAACUUUAAAAGAACACUGAACAGCAACACUCCUUCAAAGGAUGGUAAUUCAUGGACUGCUGUUCACAAUACUGCUGUACCUUCAGAAUGGUACAAGUGUACAAGAGUGAGAAAAAAUUGUAUGGCAGUUUAAUGCUUUCAUUAGAGCUCAUAAAAAUCAGCCAAUCGUUGUUACUGAUGGAAUGCAUGGUUGGCAAGAUGGUGGGGUGUUCACGGUGACAGCUGGGACACAGCGACAUGAUGGAUUUGUCUGUCUGGCUUUACUAUUAUGAACAGGGAAUAUUCGAGGAAGAUAUAUCUUAAUUUGAGAGCAAUUCUAUACAACAUUCUUUGUGAAAGUGAGAUUGUGCCCGUCCUUUCAGUUACCAUCGUUACCACGAACUUCCAGAUGACCAGGUUUGGCGAGCAGUUACUUAGUGUUGUGUAAGAAUACUUAUAGGCUAUUGGUGAUGAUUGACACAUGGGAGGCUGAGGCAAAUGGUUGUCAAGAACUCAGUCUCGUCUACAUAUUGUGCUGGUUUCUCAAAUGUGAAAGCUAUAACUGACAAACAUGGGACAGUGAACACAUCCAGUAACAGUUUCUAUGUCAUCAUACUGGCAUUCAAGCGGGUAGCCAGGAGUAACAAUGUUGCUGGAGCAGAGAGAAGAUGGACUCUCAUCCUUGAGGACAUCCAUAAAUUGCCCAUCCAGGAAAGAAACUCCCCCUUGAAAAAUGAUGGUGAUGUGACUGUUGGAGAACUGCUUGGUUUGAUCGCAGGACUUAUUAGCGAAUUUCAUACACAUUCAUCGGCUUCGGUGCCGAUAAAUAUGCUUGAAUUUUGUUGUAAAAUCCUGUGGUUAGAUCCUCCUUGGCAAUGGUUACCUGCAUCCUGUGGAUGAGUCAUGACUACAAACACAGACCUAUAUAUGAAGGAAAUGAACAAACUGUCUAAAAUGAGUGUUGUUCAAUAUUAGAUACACAGACUGCCAGAGAAUUUGUCAUGAGAAAUUAAUUGUUUUAUGUCUUCAUAUUUUACACUUUGGAAUCAUUUGUCAUCAAACAGUCUUAGAAAUUAGCUGAUGUAAGUAGACAAAAUUAUAAUUAUUAUCUUUUAAUGUGUUGGUAAGUAUUACCUAAAGCCUUUGUUAAUUGUUAAAUAGUAAUUUGAAAUGGUAAUAGAAUUGACAUUACAUGAUAUACA